GUCUGGUUCUCAUUGUUAGAAUAUCCUGGGGAGAGCUGCAGUCUCACUGCAGGGCGUCUGGUUCUCAUUGUUAGAAUAUCGUGGGGAGAGCUGCAAACUCACUGCAGGGCGUCUGGUUCCCAUUGUUAGAAUAUCCUGGGGAGAGACUCACUGCAGGUCGUCUGGUUCCCAUUGUUAUAUCCUGGGGAGAGCUGCAAACUCACUGCAGGGCGUCUGGUUCCCAUUGUUAGAAUAUCCUGAGGAGAGACUCACUGCAGAGCGUCUGGUUCUCAUUGUUAGAAUAUCCUGGGGAGAGCUGCAGUCUCACUGCAGGGCGUCUGGUUCUCAUUGUUAGAAUAUCGUGGGGAGAGCUGCAAACUCACUGCAGGGCGUCUGGUUCCCAUUUCACCUUCAAACAGGAAAUGAUACAAG
rnacentral:lncRNA from 13 species